rnacentral:rRNA from 1 species
AACGAACGCUGGCGGCAGGCCUAACACAUGCAAGUCGAGCGAAGCCUUCGGGCUUAGCGGCGGACGGGUGAGUAACGCGUGGGAACGUGCCCUUUGCUACGGAAUAGCCCCGGGAAACUGGGAGGAAUACCGGAUGUGCCCUUCGGGGGAAAGAUUUAUCGGCAAAGGAUCGGCCCGCGUUGGAUUAGGUAGUUGGUGGGGUAAUGGCCUACCAAGCCGACGAUCCAUAGCUGGUUUGAGAGGAUGAUCAGCCACACUGGGACUGAGACACGGCCCAGACUCCUACGGGAGGCAGCAGUGGGGAAUCUUAGACAAUGGGGGAAGCCCUGAUCUAGCCAUGCCGCGUGAUCGAUGAAGGCCUUAGGGUUGUAAAGAUCUUUCAGUGGGGAAGAUAAUGACUGUACCCACAGAAGAAGCCCCGGCUAACUCCGUGCCAGCCGCCGCAGUAAAAC